AUUGAACGCUGGCGGCAUGCCUAACACAUGCAAGUCGAACGGUAACGCAAGGAGCUUGCUUCUUGGCGACGAGUGGCGGACGGGUGAGUAAUGCUUAGGAAUCUGCCCAGUAGUGGGGGACAACUCGAGGAAACUCGAGCUAAUACCGCAUACGCCCUACGGGGGAAAGCGGGGGAUCUUCGGACCUCGCGCUAUUGGAUGAGCCUAAGUCGGAUUAGCUUGUUGGUGAGGUAAGAGCUCACCAAGGCGACGAUCCGUAGCUGGUCUGAGAGGACGAUCAGCCACACUGGGACUGAGACACGGCCCAGACUCCUACGGGAGGCAGCAGUGGGGAAUAUUGGACAAUGGGGGCAACCCUGAUCCAGCAAUGCCGCGUGUGUGAAGAAGGCCUGCGGGUUGUAAAGCACUUUCAGUAGAGAAGAAAAGCUUACGGUUAAUACCUGUGAGUCUUGACGUAACCUACAGAAGAAGCACCGGCUAACUCCGUG
rnacentral:rRNA from 1 species